rnacentral:rRNA from 1 species
UCCGUAGGUGAACCUGCGGAGGGAUCAUUACCGAGUUUACAACUCCCAAACCCCUGUGAACAUACCAAUCGUUGCCUCGGCGGAUCAGCCCGCUCCCGGUAAAACGGGACGGCCCGCCAGAGGACCCCUAAACUCUGUUUCUAUAUGUAACUUCUGAGUAAAACCAUAAAUAAAUCAAAACUUUCAACAACGGAUCUCUUGGUUCUGGCAUCGAUGAAGAACGCAGCAAAAUGCGAUAAGUAAUGUGAAUUGCAGAAUUCAGUGAAUCAUCGAAUCUUUGAACGCACAUUGCGCCCGCCAGUAUUCUGGCGGGCAUGCCUGUUCGAGCGUCAUUUCAACCCUCAAGCCCCCGGGUUUGGUGUUGGGGAUCGGCGAGCCCUUGCGGCAAGCCGGCCCCGAAAUCUAGUGGCGGUCUCGCUGCAGCUUCCAUUGCGUAGUAGUAAAACCCUCGCAACUGGUACGCGGCGCGGCCAAGCCGUUAAACCCCCAACUUCUGAAUGUUGACCUCGGAUCAGGUAGGAAUACCCGCUGAACUUAAGCAUAUCAAUAAGCGGAGGA